UACGUAGGGUGCGAGCGUUAAUCGGAAUUACUGGGCGUAAAGCGUGCGCAGGCGGUUUUGUAAGCCAGAUGUGAAAUCCCCGGGCUCAACCUGGGAAUGGCAUUUGGGACUGCAAGGCUGGAGUUUGGCAGAGGAGACUGGAAUUCCCGGUGUAGCAGUGAAAUGCGUAGAUAUCGGGAGGAAUACCAGUGGCGAAGGCGGCGACCUGGGCUGACACUGACGCUGAGGUUCGAAAGCGUGGGGAGCAAACAGG
rnacentral:rRNA from 1 species